AUUAAGCAUAUAAGUAAGCGGAGGAUAAGAAACUAAAUAGGAUUCCCUCAGUAAUGGCGAAUGAACAGGGAUAAGCUCAGCAUGGAAAUUGGGGCCUCUGGCCUUGAAUUGUAGUCUUGAGAUGUGCUGCCAACGGAGGCGCAGAUGUAAGCCUCUUGGAAAAGAGCAUCAGGGAGGGUGAGAGUCCCGUAUGUCAUCUGCAGAUCUUUGUGCACGGUGCAUUUUCUAAGAGUCACGUUCCUCGGGAUUGGAGCGCAAAUUGGGUGGUAAAUUUCAUCUAAAGCUAAAUAUUGGUUCGAGACCGAUAGCAAACAAGUACCAUGAGGGAAAGGUGAAAAGGACUUUGAAAAGAGAGUUAAAAGUGCCUGAAAUUGCUGAAAGGGAAGCGAAUGGAACCAGUUGUUCUUGGCGAGUAUUGGUGUUGUCUAAAGUGAUGGCUUGCCACUUCAACGCAAGUGUUGUGGCAGGUUUUGAGCUGGAUGCGAUACUGCUUCUCGCCUUGCAUGUCAACGUCAAUUCAUAAUUGAGGAAAACUCUAGGGACAUGGUAAUUUGCUUCCGGGUGACUGAAUGUCCCUAGUUGAACUCACUUUUGAAUUGCUCCCUGUGUGUCUGGUAGCAGUGCUCUGUGUGCUUGCCUUCAAACUCUUGCUGGUUCUGCUGGCAUGAGAAUUGUUGGUGCCCAGUGCAUCUCCU
rnacentral:rRNA from 1 species